UUAUUUGUUCGGUGCACAGGUACACACUCAGUUUCACCGUGGACUUCAAUAGUGUGCUUGCAGUUUUGCCCUUUUAACUGUCUGAAGUCUCACUCUGAUUUUUUUUCAAAUGAAGAAACCGAGGGAAAAGGAGAGGAGAGCCUGGAGGGGCGCUGUGAAACUCGAAAGAGGAUCGGGAGAAAAAAGAGAGGGAAGGCAUCAGCUAUUUUUCGUCCCUUUUGCCAUACUAGAGGCAAGCAAUACAGGGAGGGCAGCACCGGGCAGCCUGGAUUAAAGCAAUCUUGCUCGAGGAAUUUGAUUUCUUCUUGAAAGAAGAAAAGAGGAACGAUCUAGAGCCAGAAAGCAGUCACGUCCUCAUUUAAAAUCAGCCCUCGAUGAAACCCCAACAACACCCAGCCAGAACCAAGUCCUCCUCUGCUAAGGGCUAACCUGAUAUCCUCCAAUUCAGGUCAAGUUCCGCUGAGGUUGUCAUCUAUUUUUGCCUAAACCAAAUGCUAAGAAAAAGAAAUCAGUAAGUUAAUUGUUUGAGUUUGGUUAGGCAUUUUCAGGUUGUUCAAGUUUGCUGCAGGUUACAGAACAUAUUCUAUGGAAAUGCGAUCACCUUUGGAUUGGGCAAAAAAUCCAGGAUUGACCAUUAAGAAAAAAGGUAAAGUUUAUCCUUUUUUAAAAAUAUGUUAUUCUGCCUUUUCUCUUUGGUUAUGAAAAAUAAUCUAUGCAUUUUUCAUGCAUAUGAAAUGUACAGGUUUAUGCUUUUUUACAUUUCCCUAUUAUAUGUUUUUUACCACCAUUAGGAAAAAAAGGAAAAAGUUGAAAAGUUUAAACUUUGUGUUGAUUGUUGUUUUGUUAUCUGGUUUGGUUGGAUUUCAUGGAAGAUGAUAGCAAGCUCAACUAUUGAAAUGCUUGCAAUGUGUACACAGAAAAAAAAGUGAUAAUUAUGAAGUGAAAGUAAAUAAGAUGUUAAUGAAUUGAGAUUAAAAUAGAAAUGCAAUCAAGUCAAAUUAAAAAGAAGUGCGAUCGAUUGUCUAAGCUUUUUAGAUGAGUUUUCUUGGUCUCUCCCCCUUUUUUUUCAGUUUCAUUUAUUUUUUUCUUCUGUCUCUGGUUUUUGUUUUCAGCAAGUUUUAUUUUUUUUAUUCUUGGUAUUUCAUUUUCAUAACCUUCUAACAGAAAAAAGAUUGUUUCUUUCCAGCAAGAUAUAUAAUAAUGAUUCUUUCUAUCAAGUUCUUGAUGGUUGUUCUUCGUUUUUCUUUUUGCGUCAAAUAAACUUUUCUCCUCCAGUCAUUCGAUUCAAGACCUGCGCAGCUCAUUGCCUUUUGGGUUUUUUUUUUUGUAAUUUUAAUUUGCCACUUCAAGAUGUCUUUAUGCCCUUUUGUGUUUGUUCUCUUCAUUAUUCUUUUUUGGCUAAGUCGCAGCAGCUCUUAGUCUACAACAAUUGCUCUCUAUAAUGCGAGAUCAUCUUCAAAUUUUUUUCUUAAGAGGAUGUGUGCGUCAACGCCAUCCCCAGCAAAGGUACCUACCUUUUUCGCUCCUAUAUAUGUUUUUCUGUCAAGUAAUACCAGCGAAGAGAAAAAAAAGUUGGCCAGCUUUGAAGUUCCACAUCAUCAUUUCUCAUUACGAAGAAAAACCAUGUUAUGCUUUUGAUAGCCUAAGAUUGGCUCUCUGAUUUUUUUUCACCUGACUUUUUUUUAAAAUCAGCUUUGUCAACAUUGGCACAAUGAUCUACCUUUUUUCAAAUGCAAGUCUACCAUGAUUGGACACAAAUUUCAUAACUUAAACAUGCUCAUUUACAAGUAUCUUUUUAGCAUACCACUCCCCUACCAGACCUGCCUCCAUCUUGCAUUGCUUUUUAUGUGCUUAUCAUAUAAAAUCAUGAAGGUUUUUCUGACCAUCAGUUAACGUUUGUCUUUCACUUGAUCUUCGUCGAAUGCUGGAAAAGUUUCAGCCAGCAAAAAAAGCUUCUCUUCAGUCAAAUACCUCAACUGUUUCAGCCAUGUUUUUUUAUCCCCCAUGCUGAUCAACUGUGUUUUUUUUUUUUUUUCCAAUGUGCCUGCACAUGAUUGAUGUUCGAUUUUUUUUUGGCUUCCCUCAGCUGCCUAUCCUCACUGCACAGCUGACACCUAGGCUAUGGUUGCUUACAACCACUGUGUGAUUUUAUUCCUUGAGAUCUCUUGAUGUUGUUAGGUUUCGUUGAUCGAAUGAACUUCAUUAUGACUCUUUUUGAUUGGCUGUUUUAGACAUGCAUCACUCACCCUGUUUAAAUAAUGCUGAGUUAUUCCUUGAGAUCUCUUGAUGCUGUUAGGUUUUGCAUAAUAUCUACUCAAUGAAGGAGGAAAAUUAUUUGAUGGUAUAAGACUUUCUUCUGACAAAGACGGUAGCUUCUGCAAGACAUUGUUAGACGAAGAGCUUUAGUUAUAUAUGCUAAAAAUAAGAGAGAGAGAUGGCUAGUGAAGAGACUCUGUGCUGCAGGCAAAGUUUUGUUUAUAACAAGAUGGUUCCUAUUUUUAAUUUAGAAUACUUAAUAUGAGAUGGUGUUUAUUGUUGUUAGCA